GGCUUUAACGAAAUCACCCGGAAUGCGCCCAAUCUCAUCCGAUCUUGGAAACGGAGCAGAUUUGACCCUGGACAGCACUUGGGUGGGUGACCGCCAUGCAUUCCAGGUUGUCUUAGGUG
rnacentral:rRNA from 1 species